rnacentral:rRNA from 1 species
AGAACUUAGCAGAGAUGCUUUGGUGGCCUUCGGGAACUCUGAGACAGGUGCUGCAUGGCUGUCGUCAGCUCGUGUUGUGAAAUGUUGGGUUAAGUCCCGCAACGAGCGCAACCCUUAUCCUUUGUUGCCAGCGGUUAGGCCGGGAACUCAAAGGAGACUGCCAGUGAUAAACUGGAGGAAGGUGGGGAUGACCGUCAAGUCAUCAUGGCCCUUACGAGUAGGGCUACACACGUGCUACAAUGGCGCAUACAAAGAGAAGCGACCUCGCGAGAGCAAGCGGACCUCAUAAAGUGCGUCGUAGUCCGGAUUGGAGUCUGCAACUCGACUCCAUGAAGUCGGAAUCGCUAGUAAUCGUGGAUCAGAAUGCCACGGUGAAUACGUUCCCGGGCCUUGUACACACCGCCCGUCACACCAUGGGAGUGGGUUGCAAAAGAAGUAGGUAGCUUAACCUUCGGGAGGGCGCUUACCACUUUGUGAUUCAUGACUGGGGUGAAGUCGUAACAAGGUAGGCGUAGUGCU